rnacentral:rRNA from 1 species
ACAGCCAUACCAUGCUGAAUAGACCGGUUCUCGUUAGAUCACCGAAGUCAAGCAUCAUUGGGCGCGGUCAGUAUGGGUGACCAUG